AUUUAAGUAGUUUAAUAAAAAAAUGUUGAUUUGUGGAAUCAAAGAUAUAAAAUUAUUUAUCUUAAAUA
rnacentral:tRNA from 1 species